UGUGAUUUUGUCUUUUCUGAUAGAUUUUGUAAUUUUACAUCCAGGAUCUUCAGGAGAAUUAAGCGAAACCCAAACUCCUCGUUCUCAACGAAGACCUUCUGCAUGACCAAGAACAUGAGUCUGCUCCCUCAAGGUAUUGAAGCUCAGAAGAAAUGUUCUCUAAAAUGUUGUCAUGCUUUUUAGUUACUGUAACAUUUUAACACUAACUUAUGUUUGAUACAGAAGGUGAUGUAGCUCUGGAGCUGCUGCCAGUUCUCCUCCCUGCUCCACCUUACUCAUUAGGAAGAGUUUCAGACCCAUCAACCUGGAAGUUCAGAAGGUUUCAUUGAUAUCCAACCUGUUGGGACAAACCUGGUGGCGCAUCUACAAAAUGUGACAACCCGUAUGUCCUCAUGCAGGGAGACAGGCAAAAAUGCUAAAGUGUCAUUAAAAAUGCUCCUUGUUUAAUGGCUGAAAGUUUUACUUGUAGUUUGCUUUAAAACAGACUUUUUUUCAUUCAAUGUUUUCUAAUGUGUAAUAACAGAUACUUCUGGAGUUGUAGACAAAUGAAUUGAAGUGAUUUAACUAUAUACUUUUGAAACAACUUACUUAUGUUUUGUAACUUUUGUAAAUAAAAUCUGCUGGCUCUACAUAUGUAUCACAUGGAAAUAAGAGAAGCUUUAAAUUCA